rnacentral:rRNA from 1 species
GAUGAACGCUGGCGGCGUGCUUAACACAUGCAAGUCGAACGGAAAGGCCACAGCUUGCUGUGGUACUCGAGUGGCGAACGGGUGAGUAACACGUGGGUGAUCUGCCCUGUACUUCGGGAUAAGCUUGGGAAACUGGGUCUAAUACCGGAUAGGAAUCACAUGUGGGUGUGUGGUUGGAAAGCUUUUGCGGUAUGGGAUGAGCUCGCGGCCUAUCAGCUUGUCGGUGGGGUAAUGGCCUACCAAGGCGUCGACGGGUAGCCGGCCUGAGAGGGUGUACGGCCACAUUGGGACUGAGAUACGGCCCAGACUCCUACGGGAGGCAGCAGUGGGGAAUAUUGCACAAUGGGCGCAAGCCUGAUGCAGCGACGCCGCGUGGGGGAUGACGGCCUUCGGGUUGUAAACUCCUUUCGUCAGGGACGAAGCGAAAGUGACGGUACCUGGAUAAGAAGCACCGGCUAACUACGUG